UACGUAGGGUGCGAGCGUUAAUCGGAAUUACUGGGCGUAAAGCGUGCGCAGGCGGUUGGCCGUGUCCGAUGUGAAAGCCCCGGGCUUAACCUGGGAAUGGCAUUGGAAACUGGCUGGCUGGAGUGUGGCAGAGGGGGGUGGAAUUCCACGUGUAGCAGUGAAAUGCGUAGAGAUGUGGAGGAACACCGAUGGCGAAGGCAGCCCCCUGGGCCAACACUGACGCUCAGGCACGAAAACGUGGGGAGCAAACAGG
rnacentral:rRNA from 1 species